GUCGAGGUCAAUCCCGAUGGGGCUUUUUCUGCAGACCUGCAUCCUUGGGAACACCUCAGAGAUAUAUGUGUGGUUUUCUUUAUUCACAGAACUAGAUUUCUGAAGUAUGUCCAUAUUCAAGUGGAGAAGCCCACCCGAAAGAA
ensembl:snoRNA